GUCUGAGUGGCCGAGUGGUUAAGGCGAUGCCCUGCUAUUAAUUCAAUAACGUCUUGCAUUAUUCAAGAUAUUAUAAGAUAGCCAGGCAUUGGGUUUUACCUUCGCAGGUUCGAAUCCUGUCUCCGACG
rnacentral:tRNA from 1 species